rnacentral:rRNA from 1 species
GAUGAACGCUGGCGGCGUGCCUAAUACAUGCAAGUCGAGCGAACGGACGAUAAGCUUGCUUCUCUGAUGUUAGCGUCUGACUGGUGAGUAACACGUUGAUAACCUACCUAUAUGACUGGGAUAACUUCGUGAAACCGGAGCUAAUACCGUAUAAUAUUUUGAACCUCAUUGUUCAAAAGUGAAAGAUUGUAUUGCUGUCACUUAUAGAUGGAUCCGCGCUGCAUUAGCUAUUUGGUAAGGUAACGGCUUACCAAGGCAACGAAGCAUAGCCGACCUGAGAGGGUGAUCGGCAACACUGGAACUGAGACACGCUCCAGACUCCUACGGGAGGAAGCAGUAGGGAAUCUUCCGCAAUGGGCGAAAGCCUGACGGAGCAACGCGGCGUGAUUGAUGAAGGUCUUCGGAUCGUAAAACCCUGUUAUUAGGGAAGAACAUAUGUGUAAGUAACUGUGCACAUCGUGACGGUACCUAAUCAGAAAGCCACGGCUAACUACGUG